AAUAUUGGACAAUGGGCGAAAGCCUGAUCCAGCCAUGCCGCGUGUGUGAAGAAGGUCUUCGGAUUGUUAAGCACUCUAAGUUCGGAGGAAGCGGUUGACGCUAAUACCUUCAAUCUUUGACGUUACCAACAGAAUAAGCACCGGCUAACCCUGUGCCAGCAGCCGCGGUAAUACAGAGGGUGCAAGCGUUAAUCGGAAUUACUGGGCGUAAAGCGCGCGUAGGUGGUUCGUUAAGUUGGAGGUGAGAGCCCCGGGCUUAACCGCGGAAUUGCUUUCAAAACUGACGAGCUAGAGUACGGUAGAGGGUAGUGGAAUUUCCUGUGUAGCGGUGAAAUGCGUAGAUAUAGGAAGGAACAUCAGUGGCGAAGGCGACUACCUGGACUGAUACUGACACUGAGGUGCGAAAGCGUGGGGAGCAAACAGG
rnacentral:rRNA from 1 species